rnacentral:rRNA from 1 species
AUGCCGAAGUACGGUUAGUACCCGCUGGAGCCCUNGCAAGGUAAACUCAAAAAAUACGGGACCGCCCACCAUGAUCAUGNGUUAUUCGAUCAACGGAAGACCUUACCCAGNUNGAAGUGCAGAGGACGGAAUCAGAAACGAUUNUUUNGUAAGAGCUUCUGUAUAGGUGUGCAUGGCUGUCGUCAGCUCGUGCCGUAGGUGUUGGGUUAAGUCCCGCAACGAGCGCAACCCUUAUCGUUAGUUGCCAACAGUUCGGCUAGGGACUCUAACGAGACUGCCUGGGUGAACCAGGAGGAAGGUGAGGAUGACGUCAAGUCCGCAUGGCCCUUAUGUCUGGGGCUACACACGUGAUACAAUGGUCGGUACAGAAGGCCGCGAAGCCGGAAGGUGGAGCAAAUCCUAGAAAGCCGAUCUCAGUUCGGAUUGUAGUCUGCAACUCGACUACAUGAAGUUGGAAUUGCUAGUAAUGGCGUGUCAGCAAUAACGCCGUGAAUACGUUCCCGGGUCUUGUACACACCGCCCGUCACAUCAUGGAAGCUGGUCUUGCCCGAAGUCGCUGACUCAACCGCAAGGGGAGAGGUGCCGAAGUAGGCGGUAAUGGA